rnacentral:rRNA from 1 species
AUUGAACGCUGGCGGCAGGCCUAACACAUGCAAGUCGAACGAGUGGCGGACGGGUGAGUAAUGUCUGGGCAUCUGCCUGAUGGAGGGGGAUAACUACUGGAAACUGUAGCUAAUACCGCAUACCAUCAGAUGUGCCCAGAUGGGAUUAGCUAGUUGGUGGGGUAACGGCUCACCAAGGCGACGAUCCCUAGCUGGUCUGAGAGGAUGACCAGCCACACUGGGACUGAGACACGGCCAAGACUCCUACGGGAGGCAGCAGUGGGGAAUAUUGCACAAUGGGCGCAAGCCUGAUGCAGCCAUGCCGCGUGUAUGAAGAAGGCCUUCGGGUUGUAAAGUUCUUUCGGCAGGGAGGCGUUAACCAAAGAAGAAGCACCGGCUAACUCCGUGCCAGCAGCCGCGGUAAUUC